rnacentral:rRNA from 1 species
UACGGAGGGGGCAAGCGUUGUUCGGAAUUACUGGGCGUAAAGGGCUCGUAGGCGGCCAAUUAAGUCAGACGUGAAAUCCCACGGCUUAACCGGGGAACUGCGUCUGAUACUGGUUGUCUUGAGUUUGGGAGAGGGAUGCGGAAUUCCAGGUGUAGCGGUGAAAUGCGUAGAUAUCUGGAGGAACACCGGUGGCGAAGGCGGCAUCCUGGACCAACACUGACGCUGAGGAGCGAAAGCUAGGGGAGCAAACGGG